GCAGGGUUUGGCGGCACAAGACUAUAGUCCCAGAUACUUCAGAGGCUGAGGAGGGAGGAUCGUUUCAGCUUAGGAGGUCUGGGCUGUAGUGCACUAUGCCAAACAGGUAUCCACACUAAGUUUGGCAUCAAUAUGGUGACCUCCCAGGGUCAAGGGACCACCAGGCUGCCUAAGGAGGGGUGAAAUGAUGGCCCAAGUCAAAAAACUCCUGUGCUGAUCAGUAGUGGCCACUGCACUCCAGCCUGGCCAACAUAGUGAGACCCCAUUUCCA
ensembl:misc_RNA Metazoa_SRP Metazoan signal recognition particle RNA